UCCGUAGGCGGACUAAUAAGUCAGGGGUGAAAUCCAACAGCUUAACUGUUGAACUGCCUUUGAUACUGUUAGUCUUGAAUUAUAUGGAAGUAGAUAGAUUGUGUAGUGUAGCGGUGAAAUGCUUAGAGAUUACACAGAAUACCGAUUGCGAAGGCAGUCUACUACGUAUAUAUUGACGCUAAUGGACGAAAGCGUGGGGAGCGAACAGGAUUAGAUACCCUGGUAGUCC
rnacentral:rRNA from 1 species